UCCCCGUUAUCCUGGUAGUCCACGCCCUAAACGAUGCAUAUUUGGUGUGGGUCAUUCAGUUGAUCCGUGCCGGAGCUAACGCGUUAAAUAUGCCGCCUGGGGAGUACAGUCGCAAGGCUGAAACUCAAAGGAAUUGACGGGGGCCCGCACAAGCGGUGGAGCAUGUGGUUCAAUUCGACGCAACGCGAAGAACCUUACCUAGGCUCGAACGGCUUCUCAACGCCGGCAGAAAUGCCGGUACCCCGCAAGGGGGUGGAGUCGAGGUGCUGCAUGGCUGUCGUCAGCUCGUGUCGUGAGAUGUUGGGUUAAGUCCCGCAACGAGCGCAACCCUUGUCCUGUGUUGCCAUGUCGAAAGACGGAACUCGCAGGAGACCGCCAGGGAUAACCUGGAGGAAGGUGG
rnacentral:misc_RNA from 1 species